UACAGAGGGGGCAAGCGUUGUUCGGAAUUACUGGGCGUAAAGGGCGCGUAGGCGGCCUGUUAAGUCGAACGUGAAAUCCCUGGGCUCAACCCAGGAACUGCGUCCGAUACUGGUUGGCUUGAAUCCGGGAGAGGGAUGUGGAAUUCCAGGUGUAGCGGUGAAAUGCGUAGAUAUCUGGAGGAACACCGGUGGCGAAGGCGGCAUCCUGGACCGGUAUUGACGCUGAGGCGCGAAAGCCAGGGGAGCAAACGGG
rnacentral:rRNA from 1 species